rnacentral:rRNA from 1 species
GACGAACGCUGGCGGCGUGCCUAAUACAUGCAAGUAGAACGCAGUUGCGAACGGGUGAGUAACGUGUAGGUAACUGCCUGGUAGCGGGGGAUAACUAUUGGAAACGAUAGCUAAUACCGCCUACUACCAGAUGGACCUGCGUUGUAUUAGCUAGUUGGUGGGGUAACGGCUCACCAAGGCAACGAUACAUAGCCGACCUGAGGGGGUGGUCGGGCAAACUGGGAAUGGAAAAAGGGCCCAGAUCCUACGGGAGGCAGCAGUAGGGAAAUUUCGGCAAAGGAGGGAAAGCUGGCCGAGCAAAGCCGCGUGGGUGGAGGAGGUUUUCGGGACGUAAAGCUCUGUUGUGAGAGAAGCGGUAUCUUACGAGAAAGGAACGGCUAACUACGUGCCAGCAGCCGCGGUAAUAC